CGAGAAGAGUCCAUAUUGGUAUUGGAGCUUGCUUUGGGAGUCAGUAGUUUUGCGUUCGAAUCGCAUCUUCUCGA
rnacentral:tRNA from 1 species